UACGGAAGGGGCAAGCGUUGUCCGGAAUCACUGGGCGUAAAGGGUGCGUAGGCGGGUCUUUAAGUCAGGGGUGAAAUCCUGGAGCUCAACUCCAGAACUGCCUUUGAUACUGAAGAUCUUGAGUUCGGGAGAGGUGAGUGGAACUGCGAGUGUAGAGGUGAAAUUCGUAGAUAUUCGCAAGAACACCAGUGGCGAAGGCGGCUCACUGGCCCGAUACUGACGCUGAGGCACGAAAGCGUGGGGAGCAAACAGG
rnacentral:rRNA from 1 species